AUUGAACGCUGGCGGCAGGCCUAACACAUGCAAGUCGAGCGGAGCGGCGGACGGGUGAGUAAUGCAUAGGAAUCUGCCUGGUAGUGGGGGAUAACGUCCGGAAACGGGCGCUAAUACCGCAUACUAUCAGAUGAGCCCAUGUCGGAUUAGCUUGUUGGUGGGGUAAAGGCUUACCAAGGCGACGCUCCGUAACUGGUCUGAGAGGAUGAUCAGUCACACUGGAACUGAGACAAGGUCCAUACUCCUACGGGAGGCAGCAGUGGGGAAUAUUGGACAAUGGGCGAAAGCCUGAUCCAGCCAUGCCGCGUGUGUGAAGAAGGUCUUCGGAUUGGAAAGCACUUUAAGUUGGGAGGCGUUACCAACAGAAUAAGCACCGGCUAACUUCGUGCCAGCCGCCGCGGUAAUAC
rnacentral:rRNA from 1 species